UACGUAGGGGGCUAGCGUUGUCCGGAUUUAUUGGGCGUAAAGCGCGUGUAGGCGGCUUUGCAAGUCGGGUGUGAAAGCCCUCAGCUCAACUGAGGAAGUGCGCCCGAAACUGCAGAGCUUGAGUGCCGGAGAGGGUGGCGGAAUUCCCCAAGUAGAGGUGAAAUUCGUAGAUAUGGGGAGGAACACCCGUGGCGAAGGCGGUUCUCUGGGACGGUACUGACGCUGAGACGCGAAAGCGUGGGGAGCGAACAGG
rnacentral:rRNA from 1 species